UUUUUUUGCGAUCACACGCAAUCAAUACAACUUUCAACAACGGAUCUCUUGGCUCUCGCAUCGAUGAAGAACGCAGCGAAAUGCGAUACGUAAUGUGAAUUGCAGAAUUCAGUGAAUCAUCGAAUCUUUGAACGCACCUUGCGCCCUUUGGCAUUCCGAAGGGCACACCCGUUUGAGUGUCGUGACAUUCUCAAACCUUCUUGGUUUCUUAACUGAGAAGGCUUUGGACUUUGGAGGCUUUUGCUGGACCUUCNUUUGUUGAAGCCAGCUCCUCUUAAAUGAAUUAGUGGGGUCUGCUUUGCUGAUCCUUGACGUGAUAAGAUGCUUCUACGUCUUGGGUUUUGCACUGUUUGCUCUAGAUCCUGCUUCUAACCGUCUCAUAGAAGACAAAUGGUCGACUUGACCCACGAACCUUGACCUCAAAUCGGGUGAGACUACCCGCUGAACUUAAGCAUAUCAAUAAGCGGAGGAAAAGAAACUAACAAGGAUUCCCCUAGUAACUGCGAGUGAAGCGGGAAAAGCUCAAAUUUAAAAUCUGGUGGUC
rnacentral:rRNA from 1 species